rnacentral:misc_RNA from 1 species
AACGCACAUUGCGCCCGCCAGCACUCUGGCGGGCAUGCCUGUUCGAGCGUCAUUUCAACCCUCGGUGCCCCCCCGGGGGCGUCGGUGUUGGGGGUCGGCCCCGGCCGCCCCCGAAACGCAGUGGCGACCUCGCCGCAGCCUCCCCUGCGUAGUAGCACACACCUCGCACCGGAGCGCGGAGACGGUCACGCCGUGAAACGCCCCAAUCUCAAGAGUUGACCUCGGAUCAGGUAGGAAUACCCGCUGAACUUAA